GGCGCUUCAGGUGGCUCUUGGGCGAAAGUACUUACGACAGACCAGAAGCGGGAAGUCGUGGUGUUGAUGUGUGAUGCGACCGGUCUGUCGCAACGUCGUGCCUGCAGACUCACAGGUU
rfam:Erwinia sp. EM595 isolate E_g_EM595 genome assembly, plasmid: pEM02